GACGAACGCUGGCGGCGUGCUUAACACAUGCAAGUCGAACGGAAAGGCCCUGCUUUUGUGGGGUGCUCGAGUGGCGAACGGGUGAGUAACACGUGAGUAACCUGCCCUUGACUUUGGGAUAACUUCAGGAAACUGGGGCUAAUACCGGAUAGGAGCUCCUGCUGCAUGGUGGGGGUUGGAAAGUUUCGGCGGUUGGGGAUGGACUCGCGGCUUAUCAGCUUGUUGGUGGGGUAGUGGCUUACCAAGGCUUUGACUGGUAGCCGGCCUGAGAGGGUGACCGGCCACAUUGGGACUGAGAUACGGCCAAGACUCCUACGGGAGGCAGCAGGGGGGAAUAUUGCACAAUGGGCGGAAGCCUGAGGCAGCAACGCCGCGUGCGGGAUGACGGCCUUCGGGUUGUAAACCGCUUUCGCCUGUGACGAAGCGUGAGUGACGGUAAUGGGUAAAGAAGCACCGGCUAACUACGUG
rnacentral:rRNA from 1 species